rnacentral:misc_RNA from 1 species
UGUAUGAUGAGAUUUCUCUAUUAAAUGAGUCUAAACAUAUAUUGUUAUUUAUUAAAUUUACAGUGGAUCAAAUUUAAAAAUAAAAAAAAGAAAAAAGUUUUUCCCCCUGAGGUUUCACCAAGAAAAUGCAGUUUUUAUAAUGGUACAAUUUGGAUUAUCAUUGAUAAGGAUUUAUGUGUUUUAUGUGUUGUAAUUCACAUAAUGGUGACACAUGUGAUUGUGAAAAUUCUGAAAAAUUAGAAUUUUCAUGAUAGGACAAAAUGUCAGCUCAAUCAUUUUCUUCUCUAUGGAUUGGUUCAUUGGAAAAAUUAGUAAUGUAGUUGUCACUUGAAAAGGAGACCUCACCUACUUGAUCUUUGUCACAUGCGGUCUCUGAUGAAUUUUGCAUACGCAACUCAACUUCAACCCCAUUUACCCUAAUGUACAAUUCCUCAUAUCAGUCCUCCUCAUGGCCUGUUAGAAGUUUACAACUGAAAUGGGUGCUUUGCAGGUUGUUCAACUAUGGUGUUGGGAUCCAUUUGCUUGAAUCAGAUAGAGUCCUAUCAAAGAAAGGUAAAAUAAAUCCAAAAGAUAACCACAUUUCCUUCCAAUGCUCAGACAUGGAUCUUGUUGUUAAAAAACUAGAGGAGAAGAACAUAAAGUAUGUGACCGCAGUUGUAGAAGAGGGUGGCAUUACAGUUGAUCAGCUCUUCUUCCAUGACCCAGAUGGCUACAUGGUUGAGAUAUGCAAUUGUCAUGUUCUCCCAGUUCUUCCUCUUUCUUCAUGCGCUCUCAAGCUACCUAAACCCAAUGGGAACCUGACAUCGCCAACAUAUUAUGGUACGUGUCUAAAACAUUUAUCUUUAAACACAAUGUUUUGAUCUCGGUCAAAAGUUGGACGGUUACAUAUUUGAAUAAUAAUGCAGGGAAUAGAAGCUGGGAGAUGGCUUGCUCCGGAGUUGCUUCUCUGAUGAUGGAGAACUUGGUGGUGGACAUGAUGGACAUUUCAAUCUAACGAAUCGGAUUGGAAGAGAGUGAUCAAUGCAAGUUUUGAUUGAGUACUCUGAAAAAAUUGUUGUGUAUGCAUUGUAUAAAAAUAAGUCGCUGGCUGGGGGACCGGGGGUGUUCAGCUUUGGGUUUUGGUUGUGAGGAGUUUCUCAAGUUCCAUUGAAACAGUAUGCUUCUUAAAUUGGUUUGAUUUUGUGGACAAUCUCUCUCUCAUCUUCUUUGCCAUGCACUUCUG